rnacentral:rRNA from 1 species
AAUACCGGAUACGACCAGUCACCGCAUGGUGUGCUGGUGGAAAGCUUUUGCGGUUUUGGAUGGACUCNCGGCCUAUCAGCUAGACGGUGGGGUAAUGGCUUACCGUGGCGAUGACGGGUAGCCGGCCUGAGAGGGUGACCGGCCACACUGGGACUGAGACACGGCCCAGACUCCUACGGGAGGCAGCAGUGGGGAAUAUUGCACAAUGGGCGAAAGCCUGAUGCAGCGACGCCGCGUGCGGGAUGACGGCCUUCGGGUUGUAAACCGCUUUCAGCAGGGAAGAAGCGCAAGUGACGGUACCUGCAGAAGAAGCGCCGGCUAACUACGUGCCAGCAGCCGCGGUAAUACGUAGGGCGCGAGCGUUAUCCGGAAUUAUUGGGCGUAAAGAGCUUGUAGGCGGUUUGUCGCGUCUGCUGUGAAAGCCCGGGGCUUAACCCCGGGUGUGCAGUGGG